UGAGUAACACGUAUGCAACCUGCCUGUAAGACGGGUAAGUAACCGUUACGAAAGAACGGACUAAUACCGCAUAAUACUAAAUUACUGCAUGGUAAUUAUUUAAACAUUUAUGGCUUACAGAUGGGCAUGCGCAUGAUUAGCUAGUUGGAGAGGUAACGGCUCCCAAGGCAACGAUCAUUAGGGGUUCGUGAGAGGAAGGUCCCCCACACUGGUACUGAGACACGGACCAGACUCCUACGGGAGGCAGCAGUGAGGAAUAUUGGUCAAUGGACGAGAGUCUGAACCAGCCAAGUCGCGUGCAGGAAGAAUGUCCUUAAUGGAUUGUAAACUGCUUUUGCAGGGGAAUAAAGUGCAUCACGUGUGAUGUUUUGUAUGUACUCUGCGAAUAAGGAUCGGCUAACUCCGUGCCAGCCGCUGC
rnacentral:rRNA from 1 species